rnacentral:hammerhead_ribozyme from 1 species
GCACUGCUGAAGAGUCCCACAAUAGGACGAAGCGAUUGUUCAGUGC